rnacentral:rRNA from 1 species
UACGGGGGGUGCAAGCGUUGUUCGGAAUUAUUGGGCGUAAAGCGCGUGUAGGCGGUCUGAUUAGUCUGAUGUGAAAGCCCUGGGCUCAACCCAGGAAGUGCAUUGGAUACUGUCAGACUUGAAUACGGGAGAGGGUAGUGGAAUUCCUAGUGUAGGAGUGAAAUCCGUAGAUAUUAGGAGGAACACCGGUGGCGAAGGCGGCUACCUGGACCGAUAUUGACGCUGAGACGCGAAAGCGUGGGUAGCAAAC